GUGCUCACUUUGGCAGCAGAUAUACUAAAAUUGGAAUGAUACCAUAAAGGUUAGCAUGGCUCCUGCACAAGGAUGGCAUGCACAUUCUGGAGCAGUUCAUAAUUUUU